UGUGACACCCGGGCACUGACGAGGGCGGGGAGUGAUCGCCGGUGCAAGAAGCAUGGUGCAGGGGGCACGGACAAGGAGCGGCUCCUGGCAGGCUUCGAGUGGAAGGGGCACAUGGACGAAUCGAACAUACACCGGAAUGAGAGGGAUNUGGAGACUGUAUAGGUAUGGGACUAUACAAUUGAAGGAUAGCUUAAAGGAAUUGAUUUGGCUACCCAUAUCACCAAAAAUGCAUUUACUUUUCGGAAGCCUAACCCAUAAGAACUCCAUGGUUAAGCGUGCUUAGCCUGGAGAAAUUCUGGGAUGGGUGACCUUCCGGGAAGUUUUCCCGGAAAGUGUGCGAGUGAGGACAAAACACACUGGAAAGUCUCGUGGUGAUGUGUGGGGGCAGUCAACAGUCCCUGUAAGUUGCCGGGGCGUUACA
rnacentral:lncRNA from 1 species